UUCCAGACUCCUACGGAGGCAGCAGUGGGGGAUAUUGCACAAUGGGGGAAACCCUGAUGCAGCGACGCCGCGUGGGUGAAGAAGCGCCUCGGCGCGUAAAGCCCUGUCAGCAGGGAAGAAAAUGACGGUACCUGAAGAAGAAGCCCCGGCUAACUACGUGCCAGCAGCCGCGGUAAUACGUAGGGGGCAAGCGUUAUCCGGAUUUACUGGGUGUAAAGGGCGUGUAGCCGGGCCGGCAAGUCAGAUGUGAAAUCCCAAGGCUCAACCUUGGAACUGCAUUUGAAACUGUUGGUCUUGAGUAUCGGAGAGGCAGGCGGAAUUCCUAGUGUAGCGGUGAAAUGCGUAGAUAUUAGGAGGAACACCAGUGGCGAAGGCGGCCUGCUGGACGACAACUGACGGUGAGGCGCGAAAGCGUGGGGAGCAAACAGGAUUAGAUACCCCAGUA
rnacentral:rRNA from 1 species